UUUUUUUAGUGCCGAGUGAGGCGAUAGAUUUUUAAUCUGUUUACGGUAUAUCCU
rnacentral:tRNA from 1 species